CUGAGGAAACAGCUCAAGGCCAAGAGCAGGAUUAUUCAAAGUCUGAAAGAGGAAAUUAAGACUCCUUUGUUCCAGAGUGCACAAAAGAGGAAUGAGUUGCAGGCCAGCAAGGAGAAAGUUAAUAGCCUGGGCUUAGAAGUCAGCCUGCUCAAGUCCAAAUUACAGGAAAAGACAGAACAAUCUCAACAGCUGCAAGAUCAAAUUCUCAAACAGCAGGAGGCUCUAUAUAGGGCAAGCCAAACUCUCAAAGACACCAGGAAAGCAGCUGGCAAUAAGAUGAGGUUAAUGUCAGUCGCUGUGCACUGGAGCACAUCAGAUGUCAGGCCUAUGCAAUCGUGCUACAAUGAGCCUGUUUAAUGUGCUUUGGAAGGGUGUA
ensembl:lncRNA